AUGGGCAGCAUGGCUUACGCCGAUAACAUUUAAAAAAAGGUGCUAAGUUUAUAUAAACAUAUUUUUAGAUUUGAAACCGGUUUCUACUUAGUGGCGGUAGAGGAUACACCAGGUGUGAUACUGGAAAGUAAUGAAGCUGCAAAUUUUUCGUGGAAAACUCCAAUGGAAUUCAUUAGGGAUUACUUUAACAAAGAGUUAUAUCUUCCUCCUCCGCAGUUAUACGAGUUAUCAAGGCUGCUAAAUUUCUCUCGCUUAGAUGAAUUGAUAAAUUUUGCACGUGUUCGCUCCUCAAAGGGCAUUUCCCUAAUGCUUCCUGUUAUCCAGAAAUGUGCCGAUGGAACCGUAAGCCUAAUGCCAGGCGAUGACUUAUACAACAAUAAUAUAGAAGAAACAAACAAAGUAAAUGCUGAAACUAUAACAAUUGAACAAUUUCGAUCGGAUGUUAAGAAUUUGCAUCGCGUGGAGUAUUUUAAAAAUGGAUCAGUUUUUAUACAACAUAAUUGUUCACUGACAGAUGGACAUUUGCCACCGGUAAAAGGCAUUUUUCACUGACUGAAGUAAUAUUUACUUUACGUAAAAUUGCGAAACAUAUAUUCAGACGGAAUUGGUUAAAGAUAUAUUAUCUAAAAUGUAUUGGAAAUCUGGGAAUCUUUAGGAAUAAAUUUGGUUACUUAAUUAA